rnacentral:lncRNA from 1 species
CACGUUUUAAUAUUAAAAAGAACAUUUUUGCAUCUAGAUAAAAUCUCAGAAUUGUUAGGUCUCUUGUUUAUAACCUGCACGUUAGUGUGAAAAAUGUAAAUGGAUAUUAAGUAGGAGCAUUUGUGAUUCAUUCCUUCUAUAUGUAUGAGCAUUUCUUUUCAACAUGUUUCUCAGCUUGCAUGAAAACUACCGUUUCGCUGCCAUGGAAAUGAGAAAUAGUGAGAGUUAAUGGAAUGAUGAAUCCCCAUUGCUUGAAGACUUUCAAUCAGAGCUGGCUGCCUCAGAGAGUUACUGUUUUCUGUGCAGGAGGAACCAGAGGAGCACCUGCAAGAAGAUUUUGCCUUCAAUAAACAGCACUUUAUUGACCAGCAGAUUGUUAUUGAUUUCUGUAUUCAAUAAAAAUGUGGUAAAUGCAGACAUUAAAUUACUCUACAGCUCUCACUUUCAGAAAAUCCAAGGCAGUAUGGAACGCUGUGAUAUGUUUUGUUAACAUAUAUAUGGUAAAGGGAGAGAAUUUGUCUGAGUAAGAGACUACCAGAAAUGUAUCUGCUUCAGUUGCUAAUUGGUUCUGUCACAUGCAUGUGCUAACACAUGUGCACACAGAGUUGUGAAGUCCAUUUAUUCUCACGUGGAUGAAAAGUUAACUGUAAGGCCACGUUAUGACAUUCAUAGGCACAGCCUUGGGAACAGCCCCUCUUGCGAUCAGACUAGAAACAAAGCAUGAUGUGGGGAAGAGCUCUGAGGGUCAUUUUGUUCAGGUUUGCAUGGGUUGGUAGGGCUUGCACAAAUAGUUGUGAUAUGUGGGAACUGGUGGAAUUUCCAGGUUUCUAAUACUGAAGCUCUUGGGAGACUCCACCUUUGCGUAGACAGCUUUGGGGUUCUUGCAGAUGAAUAUCUCAGAAUUAAGCAUCCUUCCCAUCUAGAAGUGUAUACCACGUUUACCCCCACAAAGCUUGCCUUGACCUACACCAAGUACAAAGUUACCUUAGCUCUAGAACAGGUGUGUGUGAUUGUAAACUCAUUAGUGAGAUCUGGUGUGAGGAGGAAGGCAGGUGGGAGUAACAGUAAAAGUAUAUAUGAUGUCAGUCCCUUCUAUGUAUUGGGUAAGGUGAGGUUUCUUUUUUUCUUGUUCUGAUAGCUCUGGGUUUAGAAAAGAAAAAAAUGCCCUUGCUUUACUAACUGUAUGAUUUCUUCCCUUUCAGUUCUGUAACUUACAGAUACUGGAUUCCUGAUUCUCCUUCCAUGCUUGUGGAAGUCAGGACAAAUUGAUUUUGAGCUCCAUGGGAUUACCUGGUGGUGGGGCUGUGGAAAUGAGAUGUUUGCCUUUCUGCCUGCUCCAGCCUUCUGUAAUUCCAUUCCUUCACGUGCUGUUUUUUUUUGAUGUGGGUCAGAGAACAUGCUGUGGUGACCUUGCUCUGCUACUGCUGCCUACAUGGCUGUGCUGGGGG